GUGUGCUCAGUCGUGUCCAACUCUUUGGGGCCCUAUGGACUGUAGCCUGCCAGACUCCUCUGUCCAUGGAAUUCUCCAGGAGAUCCUGAUAAGGAAUACGGAACUAAUAAGCCACCACCAACCGAAAGAGUUUGGGAAAGGUCGGAAGGAGACACCGCAUGUCCGUCCACUUCCCAGAAUCCCUCUCGCUAGCAUCUAUCUUGGCUGAGCAAUGCGUGCACCACCAGGAAAGACUCUGAAUUAGAAUGAUCGGCCAAAGACCACUCAGAAACUAAUCCCAUCACCAUAAAACCCAGACUGUGAGCCAUGCGGCAGAGCAGUUCUUCUGGGUUCCCUUACCCUACUGCUCUCCACCCCGGUGCUCUUUCCC
ensembl:lncRNA